AUUGAACGCUGGCGGCAUGCCUAACACAUGCAAGUCGAACGGAAACGAUGGGAGCUUGCUCCCAGGCGUCGAGUGGCGGACGGGUGAGUAACACAUAGGAAUCUGCCCAGUAGCGGGGGACAACUUGGGGAAACUCAAGCUAAUACCGCAUACGCCCUACGGGGGAAAGCAGGGGAUCUUCGGACCUUGCACUAUUGGAUGAGCCUAUGUCAGAUUAGCUUGUUGGUGGGGUAAUGGCCUACCAAGGCGACGAUCUGUAGCUGGUCUGAGAGGACGAUCAGCCACACUGGGACUGAGACACGGCCCAGACUCCUACGGGAGGCAGCAGUGGGGAAUAUUGCACAAUGGGCGAAAGCCUGAUGCAGCAAUGCCGCGUGUGUGAAGAAGGCCUGCGGGUUGUAAAGCACUUUCAGUAGGGAGGAAACAGUAGUGGGCUAAUACCCCAUUGCCUUGACGUUACCUACAGAAGAAGCACCGGCUAACUCUGUGCCAGCAGCCGCGGUAAUACAGAGGGUGCAAGCGUUAAUCGGAAUUACUGGGCNUAAAGCGCGCGUAGGCGGCUUGGUCAGUCGGAUGUGAAAGCCCCGGGCUUAACCUGGGAAUUGCAUUCGAUACUGCCAGGCUAGAAUGUAGUAGAGGGAAGUGGAAUUCCGGGUGUAGCGGUGAAAUGCGUAGAUAUCCGGAGGAACAUCAGUGGCGAAGGCGACUUCCUGGACUAACAUUGACGCUGAGGUGCGAAAGCGUGGGGAGCAAACAGGAUUAGAUACCUGGUAGUCCACGCCGUAAACGAUGUCAACUAGAUGUUGGGGGGUUAACCCCUU
rnacentral:rRNA from 1 species